rnacentral:sRNA from 1 species
GGCUGCCUGGAGCGGGUGGCGCGUGUCUGCAGCUGCUCCGGGUAGCCCGCUAGGCGCGCCGUCCCCAGCCCCGCCGCCGGCCCUCGGUACGCCCGGCCGCCUGCACCCCCAGGAGCAGCUGCAGUGAAUUAAACACAGAAGUGGAGCUGGGGGACUGAUUAGAAGCCUCAUUCAGUGCACCUGGGCCCCAGCAGGCCCAGCCAGGCGUGGAGGAAGAGGCAUUGAGGACUUUCCUUACCUGUUUUUCCAGCUCACCCACUGCCAGCAGAGGGAGAAGGUGAUGGGGACAAGGAUGAGGCUUGAAGGAGCAGCUAGACAUCUGGAGGAAGAGUGCUCCGGGCAGAAGGCCCAGCAGGUGCAAAGGCCCUGAGGCUGGAACAGGCAUUGAUCUGCUCCGUCACCCAGGCUGGAGUGCAGUGGUGUGAUCACAGCUCACUGCAGCCUCAAACUCCUGGGCUCAACCAGUCCUCUCACCUCAGUCUUCUGAGUAGCCGGGAUUACAGAUUCAUUGGCCUGCCCCUGAGCCGGUGGCUGGGUGUGAGGGAUCAGACCAGGAGGCAAGUGAAGCCCAACGCCACGCUGGAGAAACACUUCCUCACGGAAGGGCACAGGCCCAAGGAGCCCCAGCUGUCUCUCCUGGCCGCCCAGUGUGGCCUCACGCUGUGGCAGACCCAGCGAUGGUUCCGGAGACGCCGGAACCAGGAUCGACCCCAGCUGACCAAGAAGUUCUGUGAGGCCAGCUGGAGGUUUCUCUUCUACCUGUCCUCCUUCGUGGGCGGCCUCUCGGUCCUGUACCACGAGUCAUGGCUGUGGGCACCAGUAAUGUGCUGGGACAGGUACCCAAACCAGACUCUGAAGCCAUCCCUGUACUGGUGGUACCUCUUGGAGCUGGGUUUCUACCUCUCACUGCUAAUCAGGCUGCCCUUUGAUGUCAAGCGCAAGGAUUUCAAGGAGCAGGUGAUACACCACCUCGUGGCGGUCAUCCUGAUGACCUUUUCCUACAGCGCCAACCUGCUGCGCAUUGGCUCUCUGGUGCUGCUGUUACACGAUUCCUCCGACUACCUGCUGGAGGCCUGUAAGAUGGUCAACUACAUGCAGUAUCAGCAAGUGUGCGACGCUCUCUUCCUCAUCUUCUCCUUUGUCUUCUUCUACACCCGACUGGUCCUCUUUCCCACCCAGAUCCUCUACACCACAUACUACGAGUCCAUCACCAACAGGGGCCCCUUCUUCGGCUACUACUUCUUCAACGGGCUUCUGAUGUUGCUGCAGCUGCUGCACGUGUUCUGGUCUUGCCUCAUUCUGCGCAUGCUCUAUAGCUUCAUGAAGAAGGGCCAGAUGGAGAAGGACAUUCGUAGUGAUGUAGAAGAAUCAGACUCCAGUGAGGAGGCGGCGGCGGCCCAGGAACCUCUGCAGCUAAAGAACGGGGCAGCUGGAGGGCCCAGGCCAGCCCCCACUGAUGGCCCUCGGAGCCGGGGGGCCGGGCGUCUGACCAACAGGCACCCAACAGCCACAUAGCCGGGCGGGGCUGGCUGUAAGGGGUUGCCCCCCCGCCAGCGCCUUGGAUAUUUCUGGGGUGACUGGACUGGCGCCCCUGGGCCACCUUUCUGGAGACAGGGAGGGCCCCACCCGGGGUGGGCUGAUGAUCUGUCUCCAGCCCCUUCCUUCUGCCCACCCGCCCUUCUUCCCUCUGGGCAACUGGACAGAGCUGGGAGCCAGCAGCUGGAUGCUGUGGCUGGCCAGAGACACCUCCAGGCUGUAGCCUGGGGGCUGGGGGGAGCCCCAGGCUGAAAAGGGUCCAAUUAAAACAAAUGGAGCCAAA